rnacentral:rRNA from 2 species
UUGACCUCGGAUCAGGUAGGAAUACGCGCUGAACUUAAGCAUAUCAAUAAGCGCAGGAAAAGAAACCAACAGGGAUUGCCUCAGUAACGGCGAGUGAAGCGGCAACAGCUCAAAUUUGAAAUCUGGCCUCUUGGGGUCCGAGUUGUAAUUUGUAGAGGAUGUUUUGGGUACCGCCCCGGUUUAAAUUUCUUGGAACAGAAUGUCAGAGAGGGUGAGAAUCCCGUCUUGGACCGGUGGUAGGGCCUGUGUAAAACUCCUUCGACGAGUCGAGUUGUUUGGGAAUGCAGCUCAAAAUGGGUGGUAAAUUUCAUCUAAAGCUAAAUAUUGGCCAGAGACCGAUAGCGCACAAGUAGAGUGAUCGAAAGAUGAAAAGCACUUUGAAAAGAGAGUUAAACAGUAUGUGAAAUUGUUGAAAGGGAAGCGCUUACAACCAGACUUGCGCGCGGCGGUUCCCCUUGCCUUUUGGUUAGGCUACUCCGCCGCGUCCAGGCCAACAUCGGUUUCGGGGGCCAGUUAAAGGCCCUGGGAAUGUACCUACCCACGGGUAGACUUAUAGACCAGGGUGCCAUGUGGCCUUCCGGGACCGAGGAACGCGCUUCGGCUCGGAUGUUGGCGUAAUGGUUGUCAGCGACCCGUCUUGAAACACGGACCAAGGAGUCUAACAUCUAUGCGAGUGUUUGGGUGUCAAACCCGGAACGCGGAAUGAAAGUGAACGGAGGUAGGAAGCUUCGGCUGCACUAUCGACCGAUCCUGAAGUUUACGGAUGGAUUUGAGUAAGAGCAUAGCUGUUGGGACCCGAAAGAUGGUGAACUAUGCCUGAAUAGGGUGAAGCCAGAGGAAACUCUGGUGGAGGCUCGCAGCGGUUCUGACGUGCAAAUCGAUCGUCAAAUUUGGGUAUAGGGGCGAAAGACUAAUCGAACCAUCUGGUAGCUGGUUCCUGCCGAAGUUUCCCUCAGGAUAGCAGUAACGUUUUCAGUUUUAUGAGGUAAAGCGAAUGAUUAGAGGCCUUGGGGUUGAAACAACCUUAACCUAUUCUCAAACUUUAAAUAUGUAAGAAGUCCUUGUUACUUAAUUGAACGUGGACAUUUGAAUGUAUCGUUACUAGUGGGCCAUUUUUGGUAAGCAGAACUGGCGAUGCGGGAUGAACCGAACGUGAGGUUAAGGUGCCGGAAUGCACGCUCAUCAGACACCACAAAAGGUGUCAAUGCAUCUAGACAGCCGGACGGUGGCCAUGGAAGUCGGAAUCCGCUUAGGAGUGUGUAACAACUCACCGGCCGAAUGCAUUGGCCCUGAAAAUGGAUGGCGCUUAAGCGUGCUACCUAUACCUCGCCGUUAGGGUUGACAUGAUGCCCUAACGAGUAGGCAGGCGUGGAGGUCCGUGACGAAGCCUUGGGGGUAACCCCGGGUCGAACGACCUCUAGUG